rnacentral:rRNA from 1 species
UUAAGCGACUAAGCGUACACGGUGGAUGCCCUGGCAGUCAGAGGCGAUGAAGGACGUGCUAAUCUGCGAAAAGCGUCGGUAAGGUGAUAUGAACCGUUAUAACCGGCGAUGUCCGAAUGGGGAAACCCAGUGCAAUUCGUUGCACUAUCGUUAACUGAAUACAUAGGUUAACGAGGCGAACCGGGGGAACUGAAACAUCUAAGUACCCCGAGGAAAAGAAAUCAACCGAGAUUCCCCCAGUAGCGGCGAGCGAACGGGGAGCAGCCCAGAGUCUGAAUCAGCUUGUGUGUUAGUGGAACGGUCUGGAAAGUCCGACGGUACAGGGUGAUAGUCCCGUACACCAAAAUGCACAGGCUGUGAACUCGAAGAGUAGGGCGGGACACGUGGUAUCCUGUCUGAAUAUGGGGGGACCAUCCUCCAAGGCUAAAUACUCCUGACUGACCGAUAGUGAACCAGUACCGUGAGGGAAAGGCGAAAAGAACCCCGGCGAGGGGAGUGAAAAAGAACCUGAAACCGUGUACGUACAAGCAGUGGGAGCACCUUCGGGUGUGACUGCGUACCUUUUGUAUAAUGGGUCAGCGACUUAUAUUCUGUAGCAAGGUUAACCGUAUAGGGGAGCCGCAGGGAAACCGAGUCUUAACUGGGCGUUAAGUUGCAGGGUAUAGACCCGAAACCCGGUGAUCUAGCCAUGGGCAGGUUGAAGGUUGGGUAACACUAACUGGAGGACCGAACCGACUAAUGUUGAAAAAUUAGCGGAUGACUUGUGGCUGGGGGUGAAAGGCCAAUCAAACCGGGAGAUAGCUGGUUCUCCCCGAAAGCUAUUUAGGUAGCGCCUCGUGAACUCAUCUUCGGGGUAGAGCACUGUUUCGGCUAGGGGUCAUCCCGACUUACCAACCCGAUGCAAACUACGAAUACCGAAGAAUGUUAUCACGGGAGACACGGCGGGUGCUAACGUCCGUCGUGAAGAGGGAAACAACCCAGACCGCCAGCUAAGGUCCCAAAGUCAUGGUUAAGUGGGAAACGAUGUGGGAAGGCACAGACAGCCGAGGAUGUUGGCUUAGAAGCAGCCAUCAUUUAAAGCGUAAUAGCUCACUGGUCGAGUCGGCCUGCGCGGAAGAUGUAACGGGGCUAAACCAUGCACCGAAGCUGCGGCAGCGACACUAUGUGUUGUUGGGUAGGGGAGCGUUCUGUAAGCCUGCGAAGGUGUGCUGUGAGGCAUGCUGGAGGUAUCAGAAGUGCGAAUGCUGACAUAAGUAACGAUAAAGCGGGUGAAAAGCCCGCUCGCCGGAAGACCAAGGGUUCCUGUCCAACGUUAAUCGGGGCAGGGUGAGUCGACCCCUAAGGCGAGGCCGAAAGGCGUAGUCGAUGGGAAACAGGUUAAUAUUCCUGUACUUGGUGUUACUGCGAAGGGGGACGGAGAUGUUAGCCGGGCGACGGUUGUCCCGGUUUAAGCAUGUAGGCUGAUUGUCCAGGCAAAUCCGGAUAAUCAAGGCUGAGGUGUGAUGACGAGGCACUACGGUGCUGAAGUAACAAAUGCCCUGCUUCCAGGAAAAGCCUCUAAGCAUCAGGUAACAUUAAAUCGUACCCCAAACCGACACAGGUGGUCAGGUAGAGAAUACCAAGGCGCUUGAGAGAACUCGGGUGAAGGAACUAGGCAAAAUGGUGCCGUAACUUCGGGAGAAGGCACGCUGGUGUGUAGGUGAAGUCCCUGCGGAUGGAGCUGAGACCAGUCGAAGAUACCAGCUGGCUGCAACUGUUUAUUAAAAACACAGCACUGUGCAAACACGAAAGUGGACGUAUACGGUGUGACGCCUGCCCGGUGCCGGAAGGUUAAUUGAUGGGGUUAUCCGUAAGGAGAAGCUCUUGAUCGAAGCCCCGGUAAACGGCGGCCGUAACUAUAACGGUCCUAAGGUAGCGAAAUUCCUUGUCGGGUAAGUUCCGACCUGCACGAAUGGCGUAAUGAUGGCGGGCUGUCUCCACCCGAGACUCAGUGAAAUUGAACUCGCUGUGAAGAUGCAGUGUACCCGCGGCAAGACGGAAAGACCCCGUGAACCUUUACUAUAGCUUGACACUGAACAUUGAGCCUUGAUGUGUAGGAUAGGUGGGAGGCUUUGAAGCGUGGACGCCAGUCUGCGUGGAGCCAACCUUGAAAUACCACCCUUUAAUGUUUGAUGUUCUAACGUUGGCCCCUUACCGGGGUUGCGGACAGUGUCUGGUGGGUAGUUUGACUGGGGCGGUCUCCUCCCAAAGCGUAACGGAGGAGCACGAAGGUUAGCUAAUCCUGGUCGGACAUCAGGAGGUUAGUGCAAUGGCAUAAGCUAGCUUGACUGCGAGCGUGACGGCGCGAGCAGGUGCGAAAGCAGGUCAUAGUGAUCCGGUGGUUCUGAAUGGAAGGGCCAUCGCUCAACGGAUAAAAGGUACUCCGGGGAUAACAGGCUGAUACCGCCCAAGAGUUCAUAUCGACGGCGGUGUUUGGCACCUCGAUGUCGGCUCAUCACAUCCUGGGGCUGAAGUAGGUCCCAAGGGUAUGGCUGUUCGCCAUUUAAAGUGGUACGCGAGCUGGGUUUAGAACGUCGUGAGACAGUUCGGUCCCUAUCUGCCGUGGGCGCUGGAGAAUUGAGGGGGGCUGCUCCUAGUACGAGAGGACCGGAGUGGACGCAUCACUGGUGUUCGGGUUGUCAUGCCAAUGGCACUGCCCGGUAGCUAAAUGCGGAAGAGAUAAGUGCUGAAAGCAUCUAAGCACGAAACUUGCCCCGAGAUGAGUUCUCCCUGAGACUUUAAGUCUCCUGAAGGAACGUUGAAGACGACGACGUUGAUAGGCCGGGUGUGUAAGCGCAGCGAUGCGUUGAGCUAACCGGUACUAAUGAACCGUGAGGCUUAACCU